rnacentral:miRNA from 15 species
GUGCCUACUGAGCUGAUAUCAGU